rnacentral:sRNA from 1 species
UUUGUUACGGAAUCAAAAGAGAUCAGAAGUAUAUCUGUGUGAAGAGAAAUUUGUGGAGAAACUGAAGGAACUUGUAAAUGAUGACUUAGAUUUGUUGUCAACACUAGAAGGUUCACAGUUAGAAGGUUUAAAUUAUGUUCAUCCACUAAAUAACAACAAGAUGCCAUUCCUGCCAUCAAGCCAUGUCUUGGAAGGAAAAGGUACUGGUCUUGUCCAUAUAGCCCCAGCACAUGGACAUGACGACUUCUUUGUAGCUCUUCAGCAUAACCUGUCCAGAGAGUGCCAUGUGAAUGAGAAAGGGACAUUUGUGUCUGGAGUGGAUGAAAGUCUUAUUGGUAAAACUGUUGGACUGGAUGCCAAUGAUGCA